rnacentral:rRNA from 1 species
GUAGGGAAUCUUCGGCAAUGGACGAAAGUCUGACCGAGCAACGCCGCGUGAGUGAAGAAGGUUUUCGGAUCGUAAAACUCUGUUGUUAGAGAAGAACGUUGUGUAGAGUGGAAAAUUACACAAGUGACGGUAUCUAACCAGAAAGGGACGGCUAACUACGUGCCAGCAGCCGCGGUAAUACGUAGGUCCCGAGCGUUGUCCGGAUUUAUUGGGCGUAAAGCGAGCGCAGGUGGUUUAAUAAGUCUGAUGUAAAAGGCAGUGGCUCAACCAUUGUGUGCAUUGGAAACUGUUAGACUUGAGUGCAGUAGAGGAGAGUGGAAUUCCAUGUGUAGCGGUGAAAUGCGUAGAUAUAUGGAGGAACACCGGUGGCGAAAGCGGCUCUCUGGACUGUAACUGACACUGAGGCUCGAAAGCGUGGGUAGCAAACAGGAUUAGAAACCCCUGUAGUCC